GUAGGUGGCAAGCGUUGUCCGGGAAUUAUUGGGGCGUAAAGCGCGCGCAGGCGGUUCUUUAAGUCUGAUGUGAAAGCCCACGGGCUCAACCGUGGAGGGUCAUUGGAAACUGGAGAACUUGAGUACAGAAGAGGAAAGCGGAAUUCCACGUGUAGCGGUGAAAUGCGUAGAGAUGUGGAGGAGCACCAGUGGCGAAGGCGGCUUUCUGGUCUGUAACUGACGCUGAGGCGCGAAAGCGUGGGGAGCAAACAGGAUUAGAUACCCUGGUAGUCCACGCCGUAAACGAUGAGUGCUAAGUGUUAGGGGGUUUCCGCCCCUUAGUGCUGCAGCUAACGCAUUAAGCACUCCGCCUGGGGAGUACGGCCGCAAAGGCUG
rnacentral:rRNA from 1 species